rnacentral:misc_RNA from 1 species
AAGUCGUAACAAGGUUUCCGUAGGUGAACCUGCGGAAGGAUCAUUAUCGAGUUUGUGGCGUCCUCUUGGUUGAGCUGGCUCGAAAGGGCAAGUGCUCGCCGAGCGUCGACGUUCUUUCUCUAAACCCCCCCUUCUUUUUGUGCACAUCCGCGUGGGUUUGAAGGCGCUUCUCUCCGGAGAAGUGCUCGAAGGCUUCGCGUCUUUUUCUAUAUACUCUCUCGAAAGGACAAUGGAAUGUUUUUGUCUUGCGUUUUACGCGAAACCUAUAUACAACUUUCAGCAACGGAUCUCUUGGCUCUC